AUCUAGCUGGCUCAGUCAGUAGAGCGUGGGGCUCUUGAUCUCAAGGUUGUAAGUUUGAGUCCCACGCUGGGUG
rnacentral:tRNA from 1 species